rnacentral:rRNA from 1 species
ACUGCUCAGUAACACGUGGACAACCUACCCUUGGGUCUGGCAUAAUCCUGGGAAACUGGGUAUAAUUCCAGAUAGGUCUCGAUUGCUGGAAUGCAUCGAGAUUUAAAGCUCCGGCGCCUAAGGAUGGGUCUGCGGCCUAUCAGGUAGUAGUGGGUGUAGCGUACCUACUAGCCUACGACGGGUACGGGUUGUGAGAGCAAGAGCCCGGAGAUGGAUUCUGAGACACGAAUCCAGGCCCUACGGGGUGCAGCAGGCGCGAAAACUUUACAAUGCUGGCAACAGCGAUAAGGGAACCUCGAGUGCCAGGUUACAAAUCUGGCUGUCGAGAUGCCUAAAAAGCAUUUCAUAGCAAGGGCCGGGCAAGACCGGUGCCAGCCGCCGCGGUAACACCGGCGGCCCGAGUGGUAACCGCUUUUAUUGGGUCUAAAGGGUCUGUAGCCGGCCAAGUAAGUCCCUUGGGAAAUCUGGCAGCUUAACUGUCAGGCUGCUAGGGGAUACUGCUAGGCUUGGGACCGGGAGAGGUGAGAGGUACCUUGGGGGUAGGGGUGAAAUCUUGUGAUCCUCGGGGGACCACCAGUGGCGAAGGCGUCUCACCAGAACGGGUCCGACGGUAAGGGACGAAAGCUAGGGGCACGAACCGGAUUAGAUACCCGGGUAGUCCUAGCCGUAAACGAUGCUCGCUAGGUGUCAGUCACGGUGCGACCAUGAUUGGUGCCGUAGGGAAGCCGUGAAGCGAGCCACCUGGGAAGUAUGGCCGCAAGGCUGAAACUUAAAGGAAUUGGCGGGGGAGCAC